rnacentral:lncRNA from 1 species
UGAGAACACUUCACCUCAUUACCUGGAUGUGGAGUGUUGAAGCUGGAAGGGAUCCCAGAGAUCUGGAAACUCCCCAGGAGUUUGGAUGCUUCAUCUCUGCUGAGACCCAGUGCCUGGCACUGAAGGUGCUCAGGAAAUACCUUCUGAAUGAUCGGAAGCCCCUGCCAUCUGCUAAACUGGAUCUAUGAUGACAGAAGCCGAGGAAUGUGAGGUUCAUCUAGAGAGUUCUUGUGAAUUUU